rnacentral:rRNA from 1 species
GACGGAGGGUGCUAGCGUUGUUCGGAAUCACUGGGCGUAAAGGGCGCGUAGGCGGCCUUGCAAGUCGGUUGGUGAAAGCCCGGGGCUCAACCCCGGAGGUGCGGCCGAGACUGCAGGGCUGGAGGCCGGAAGAGGAGGGUGGAAUACCCAGUGUAGAGGUGAAAUUCGUAGAUAUUGGGUGGAACACCGGUGGCGAAAGCGGCUCUCUGGUCCGGACCUGACGCUGAGGCGCGAAAGCGUGGGGAGCAAACGGG